rnacentral:snoRNA from 1 species
AAGUCACUUAUUUUGUGACGGAGGGAGUAAAUCUUCUGCUCUUCAGAUUAGUUGAGGGGGAGGCUCUCCUUCCCUCCUUGAAGCUUGUCUAGUAGUUUUAAGAACAUA